GCAAGUCGAGCGAACAGAUAAGGAGCUUGCUCCUUUGACGUUAGCGGCGGACGGGUGAGUAACACGUGGGUAACCUACCUAUAAGACUGGGAUAACUUCGGGAAACCGGAGCUAAUACCGGAUAACAUUUGGAACCGCAUGGUUCUAAAGUGAAAGAUGGUUUUGCUAUCACUUAUAGAUGGACCCGCGCCGUAUUAGCUAGUUGGUAAGGUAACGGCUUACCAAGGCGACGAUACGUAGCCGACCUGAGAGGGUGAUCGGCCACACUGGAACUGAGACACGGUCCAGACUCCUACGGGAGGCAGCAGUAGGGAAUCUUCCGCAAUGGGCGAAAGCCUGACGGAGCAACGCCGCGUGAGUGAUGAAGGGUUUCGGCUCGUAAAACUCUGUUAUUAGGGAAGAACAAAUGUGUAAGUAACUGUGCACGUCUUGACGGUACCUAAUCAGAAAGCCACGGCUAACUACGUGCCAGCAGCCGCGGUAAUACGUAGGUGGCAAGCGUUAUCCGGAAUUAUUGGGCGUAAAGCGCGCGUAGGCGGUUUCUUAAGUCUGAUGUGAAAGCCCACGGCUCAACCGUGGAGGGUCAUUGGAAACUGGGAAACUUGAGUGCAGAAGAGGAAAGUGGAAUUCCAUGUGUAGCGGUGAAAUGCGCAGAGAUAUGGAGGAACACCAGUGGCGAAGGCGACUUUCUGGUCUGUAACUGACGCUGAUGUGCGAAAGCGUGGGGAUCAAACAGGAUUAGAUACCCUGGUAGUCCACGCCGUAAACGAUGAGUGCUAAGUGUUAGGGGGUUUCCGCCCCUUAGUGCUGCAGCUAACGCAUUAAGCACUCCGCCUGGGGAGUACGACCGCAAGGUUGAAACUCAAAGGAAUUGACGGGGACCCGCACAAGCGGUGGAGCAUGUGGUUUAAUUCGAAGCAACGCGAAGAACCUUACCAAAUCUUGACAUCCUUUGAAAACUCUAGAGAUAGAGCUUUCCCCUUCGGGGGACAAAGUGACAGGUGGUGCAUGGUUGUCGUCAGCUCGUGUCGUGAGAUGUUGGGUUAAGUCCCGCAACGAGCGCAACCCUUAAGCUUAGUUGCCAUCAUUAAGUUGGGCACUCUAGGUUGACUGCCGGUGACAAACCGGAGGAAGGUGGGGAUGACGUCAAAUCAUCAUGCCCCUUAUGAUUUGGGCUACACACGUGCUACAAUGGACAAUACAAAGGGCAGCUAAACCGCGAGGUCAUGCAAAUCCCAUAAAGUUGUUCUCAGUUCGGAUUGUAGUCUGCAACUCGACUACAUGAAGCUGGAAUCGCUAGUAAUCGUAGAUCAGCAUGCUACGGUGAAUACGUUCCCGGGUCUUGUACACACCGCCCGUCACACCACGAGAGUUUGUAACACCCGAAGCCGGUGGAGUAACCAUUUAUGGAGCUAG
rnacentral:rRNA from 1 species